CCUACGGGGGGCUGCAGUGAGGAAUAUUGGUCAAUGGGCGCAAGCCUGAACCAGCCAUGCCGCGUGCAGGAUGACGCAUCUAUGGUGUGUAAACUGCUUUUGUACAGGAAGAAACCCUCGAACGUGUUCGAGAUUGACGGUACUGUAAGAAUAAGGAUCGGCUAACUCCGUGCCAGCAGCCGCGGUAAUACGGAGGAUCCGAGCGUUAUCCGGAAUCAUUGGGUUUAAAGGGUCCGUAGGCGGCCUUAUAAGUCAGUGGUGAAAUCUCGAGGCUC
rnacentral:rRNA from 1 species